rnacentral:lncRNA from 1 species
UUCAGUCGGGCUUCCUUCGGAGGUGAUCCAUCUGGAAGACGACGACCAAAGGGGGUCGGAGCCAGCUUUGGCGCGUGUCCCUAGGGUUAUCCCAUCUACUGCCGCUCCCACCAUGAACGUGUCGCCGACUGAGACGGUGCCGCCGACUGAGACGGUGCCCCUCAUGGCGGAACCGAUUGGAGCGGAGCUCGGGAUGCCCAGGGAGUCUUCUGCCGCGCCGGGUCCGUCAGCUGUUCAAUAUGACGCCCGACGCCUCCCGGAAGACCAGGUGGGGGCCGCCAAGGACGCCAUGGUGCAGGUGGAGCUGAUGGUGGGUGACGCCAAGGGAGCGUAUGAC